rnacentral:lncRNA from 1 species
GACAGAACCCAAAGGAAAAGACCCAGGGUGCAGAUUGGCAGAAGCUAUUCUGGCCCAUGAGCAGAGCAUCAAGAAUGUGUGUUGCAAGAGAGUCUUGCUCUGUCACCCAGGCUGGAGUGCAGUGGCACCAUCUCGGCUCACCGCAAGCUCUGCCUCCUGGGUUCAUGCCAUUCUCCUGCCUCAGCCUCCUGAGUAGCUGGGACUACAGGCGUCCGCCACCACACCCGGGGAGAGGAGAAAAAAGUGCAUGAAGUAAAGAAAAAGCAAGGAAUGAGAGAAAAAAUGGAGGAGUGAGUACCACAGCCCAGUCAGUAAGCGUUACAUGGAGUCUCACUUUGUCGCCAGGCUGGAGUGCAGUCAGCUCGCUGCAACCUCCACCUCCCGGGUUCAAGAGAUUCUCCUGCCUCACACUCCUGAGUAGCCGGGACUACAGACAUUUAGAAAUUAUUACAAGAACUUUUUCUGGACAGACAAGAACCUAAAUCUGAACAUCUAAAAGGCUCACAAAGAAUCAAGCAAAUUUAUUGAAAGAGACCAACACUUAUUAGACCUACCUUCGUCAACUGAAGAUCAAGAAAAAAAUUCCAAGAGGCAUUUGGACAGAAAAGUGUGUUGAUUCCACAGGAACAAAAAUCAAACUGCAUUCAGAAUUCUCCUCUGCAAUGUCUAAUAGCAGGAGAAAUAAAAUGGUACCAGCACAGCUUCAAGGGAAAAAGACUCAUUCUAAGAAACCUGUAUUUAGGAAGCUGUUCAAGUAAAAGGGUAACGGAAGAAAUGUUCUUAGAUGUGCAACUCACUGUUA